UUCACAUCCCAACCUGAAGACACUUAGGCAGGGUCAGGCCUUGAGAAGACAAUGUGUUGAUGUGUCACGAUUUUAUGGUUGCUAAAAAUCUUUUUCAUCCCUGAGCCACCUUACUUCACUCAGCUGCUGUUUGCCAGGCAUCCAUUUGAAGGGGACAACCCCUCAUGUAAAUACCAGAACUGAAGUUUCGAUCACUUGAUACACUAUUUCAUCCUAAAGGCAAUUUAAGCAACACAGGCAUAUAAGAUACCUUGAAUCUGACAGCAUUUUAAAUAAAUAUGUAUGGUCAGAUCAUAAAGAGGGAUAAAUUGGUAUAACCUUGCUGAAAUUUGGUCCUUUAAGCUGCACCAGUUACAUAUCUCAGUGCAAGUAACUCUGAUCAGCUGAGUUUAAUGCAUGCAGGGAGUCACACAGCUGCCUCCAGGCACGUUAGGGGGAUUUUCAGACACCCCCUAUGCCAGAUUGGCAACAGACUUAAUCCUGGGAAUCCUUUCAGCAAGUUAAAACCUAUUGCUACCACACCUGCCCUCACCUCCUAGAGACAUCAGCUGUGCACACACUGUGGCUGCCAAAGCAGUGGGAUCAUGCAAAACAGUAAAGGAGAUACAGGUGAUGCCCACGAGUGUCAGUGAUAUGCCAAGCCACAGCCUGAUCUCAGUUACAGGCAAAGCCCACAGACAGUGGCAGAAUCAGCCCCUGUGUUUAAUUGCAAAAAGAUGUCUACCACAGAGCUGAGAGGCCAAGGAUUUGGCUAUUAUGUUCAACCCUUCCACAUGUCAGAGGAAAAGGCCAGUAGUAUUGUGUGCUAAUAGCUCCCAGCAGUGAGGAGUUAGUCCAUUCUGUGAACACUUCCUUGCUAAUGGAUCUAUGAAGUGUUUUCUUACUUUAAUAAAGUACAGUCAGAGGUGGCCCUCUGUGCCAAAGCCUACUCAUGCAGGUUCUACAAAUAAUUUGUUCCAUUUCCCCAAGCUCCUAGUAAAUGGUUAAUCAUUCAUUCAACAAAGGCUGCAUUUCUCCUACCAUAAACUUUUGCAAUGAGCAUCUGCACUGGGCGCCCAGUGGUGUCACUUUCUCUAUUAUCUGGCCUUGUGUAUGUAUUGAUCAGAUACAGCUGGUUCUGGAGUGACCAUGUCUGUUGCUAGGAAUAGAUCAUGCUGGAAUUUAUUAACCUGCUUUGCUGAGCUCUGCCACCCCAGUCAGCACUGCAGCAUAAGUUGUGUUCACUCAGGACUUCCACUCCUUAUUGAAUGAGGAUUACAUCUGAGCAGUGGGGACUGAGCUACACUGAGACUUUACACUUGAGACCAAGAGAUUGGGGAAAGAAUUAAAAGGAUGUUGCUGAGCACCUUGGGAACUCCUGUUUUACUCUGCUGGGAAGACCUUCUCUCACUGGAGGCAAGAUAUUUCCUAGUCUGUGGUUGAUAUAUCAUCAGAAGGGACAGAGCCAUGUUCCCACCCUGCAGCACCAGGUCCAAGAUGCUUUGUCUCAGAGAAGUUUUCUUGGUCCACACUGCUACAGGUGAUUUGAGACCCAAAGGAGACAGAACCCAGCAGGUCAACGACAAGCACUGCUCAGUAGGGAGCCAGACAUCAGGUGCAACCUGACAGUGUGGGGCUGAAAGCGAGGUACCUUUUAAGAGAGUCUUGGGCCAGGAGCAAGUACCCUGUGGCCUGGAGAGCAAAGUCCUGUCAGAAGGGAGCUUUGCCCCAGGAACAGUUUGCGCAAAUCUGUCUGCACAGCUCCUGCAAGACUGCUCAUCCCAUCAAACUCUGUGAGAAGGGACAACUGCAUCUUGCAGAGAUGCAAUUUCUGUAAACUCCUUACUGAAUUGAGUUUUUGAGGAAGCUGGAAGGGGUGUUGCCAGGAGACGGGAGGUGAAAGGCGCUCUUCUAGUGCUGUCAUGUCUGCAUUGAUGUGGAUGCUGUACCUCACCGGAUGGUCAUUGGGAUAUUAUCAAAUGAAGCAUGGAAUAAAAGUAAGGAAGAAAACUAUAGACUGAGAGAUGCAUGGGAACAUUUUAACCAUUUAAGACCACUAAGAGCCUGCUUUCAUGAUGCAACACUUGUUAGAGACCCCCUUUGUUACCUCCGAAAGUGUUGGUGCUUUUGAAUGGCAGAUGGCAACAGCCUGAAAAACAGCAGCUCAAAGACUCAACGCGUCGUGACAUGCCAGUGCUGCUCUUCACUUCCUGGGGACUUAGAGUCCAAAGAUGGGAAAGAAAGGAAGCAGUAAAAUAUUUUUACCAAUUUUUAUUAGUGUCAGUAAAGCUGAGGAUUCCCUAAAUUCAGUUGUUGAGUCCCCACGGGCAAGAACAGUAAUGACUGAGCCUUUGCUGCCUUACGCUAUUCGGGAAUAGAAGCUUGGGAAGAAUCUUGCACACCAGAUUUAUAAAUAUUCUGUUAGUCUUCGACUCUGAGCAUAGAUGGCAAAGAUGCAAAAAGGAAGAGAAGGAUACUGAGCUACACCAAUAAAAUCCUCCAGCUGGAAAAGCCCAAAGAAUGUGUAAAGAUUUCUUGGAAUCAGAAAUUAAUUUAUAAAAAGAUGAGUAAUUGAGAUAAGAUAAUGAAAGGAUGAGGCUGUGUCCAUUUUUGCCUCCUUAAAAAAAUCCAACAAAAAACAAAACCAAAA